GCGGACGUGGUGGAAUCGGUAGACACACGAGACUUAAAAUCUCGAGGCCCUAGGCCGUGCGGGUUCGAGUCCCGCCGUCCGCA
rnacentral:tRNA from 1 species